rnacentral:lncRNA from 1 species
GCUGUAUUUUGACAUAAGGCACUAUGAUAUGAAUAUGCCAUACACUUGCCUUAUGUCACAUAUAUCCAUUGCUGACCAGUGACUUCUGUCAAAUACAAAAUGAAAAAGGUUCAGAAUACAGUGCAUUUUAAUGAAGGACAUCGUGUGAAGUCUUCCAGCAAAUGUUCUGAAGACGUUUUGAAAUACAAGCCUACAUUGUAACAUAAGCUUUUGUCAUGCUGCUUUGUUUUUUUGCGACAUCACUGGGGGGGAAUAGACUCAUCAUCCAUCACUAAGUCCCAAAACACAUUCUCAACCAUCCUGCUCUGUUCUAUUGCAGUCACUGUUCUCGAGACAAACUUGACCCAGAAACUUUGUUCAGAUUCUCCUACAAACGUUUAUACAUUCACAGCAGUCAUUCACUUUCAUUCUCCUUUUGUUUGGCACCUGCUGGUGUGAGUACCAAAGCCUGUAGAAUGUCAGAAAGGGAGAUGAUACCCACAAUGCUAUCUGCUUCAUUCACUACCACCAAACGAUGAACCUCAGCCUUCACUAUCCUAUCAACAAUGGUCUCCAGUGUUUCCAGCAUACUACACUUUACAACACCUUCAAAAUACUGAGAACGGUGCUGUAGGGCUUGUGUCACCGUGAUAUCUAGGUUAUUAUAGGUUUUUUCAGCAGCAAGGUUUAUUACAUCAAAUUUGGAAUAAAUAUCUACAACUUUUC